rnacentral:rRNA from 1 species
GCGAACGGGUGAGUAACACGUGGGCAAUCUGCCCUGCACUCUGGGACAAGCCCUGGAAACGGGGUCUAAUACCGGAUAUUGACCAUCUUGGGCAUCCUUGAUGGUGGAAAGCUCCGGCGGUGCAGGAUGAGCCCGCGGCCUAUCAGCUUGUUGGUGAGGUAAUGGCUCACCAAGGCGACGACGGGUAGCCGGCCUGAGAGGGCGACCGGCCACACUGGGACUGAGACACGGCCCAGACUCCUACGGGAGGCAGCAGUGGGGAAUAUUGCACAAUGGGCGAAAGCCUGAUGCAGCGACGCCGCGUGAGGGAUGACGGCCUUCGGGUUGUAAACCUCUUUCAGCAGGGAAGAAGCGAAAGUGACGGUACCUGCAGAAGAAGCGCCGGCUAACUACGUGCCAGCAGCCGCGGUAAUACGUAGGGCGCGAGCGUUGUCCGGAAUUAUUGGGCGUAAAGAGCUCGUAGGCGGCUUGUCGCGUCGGUUGUGAAAGCCCGGGGCUUAACCCCGGGUCUGCAGUCGAUACGGGCAGGCUAGAGUUCGGUAGGGGAGAUCGGAAUUCCUGGUGUAGCGGUGAAAUGCGCAGAUAUCAGGAGGAACACCGGUGGCGAAGGCGGAUCUCUGGGCCGAUACUGACGCUGAGGAGCGAAAGCGUGGGGAGCGAACAGGAUUAGAUACCCUGGUAGUCCA